UGGGGAAUAUUGGACAAUGGGGGAAACCCUGAUCCAGCAAUGCCGCGUGGGUGAUGAAGGCCUUCGGGUUGUAAAGCCCUUUUGGUAGGGACGAUGAUGACGGUACCUACCGAAUAAGCCCCGGCUAACUUAGUGCCAGCAGCCGCGGUAAUACGAAGGGGGCUAGCGUUGUUCGGAAUUACUGGGCGUAAAGGGCGCGUAGGCGGCUUCGAUAGUCGGGCGUGAAAUGCCUGGGCUCAACCCGGGAACUGCGUUCGAAACUUCGAGGCUAGAGUGUGGGAGAGGUUGGUGGAAUUCCCAGUGUAGAGGUGAAAUUCGUGGAUAUUGGGAAGAACACCGGUGGCGAAGGCGGCCAACUGGACCACAACUGACGCUGAGGCGCGAAAGCGUGGGGAGCAAA
rnacentral:rRNA from 1 species